UUUGCGUCGAAGGUAUACCGGUAAGGAGUGCUGGAGCGAAUAGAAGUGAGCAUGCAGGCAUGAGUAGCGAUAAUUAAUGUGAGAAUCAUUAACGCCGUAAACCCAAGGUUUCCUACGCGAUGCUCGUCAUCGUAGGGUUAGUCGGGUCCUAAGUCGAGUCCGAAAGGGGUAGACGAUGGCAAAUUGGUUAAUAUUCCAAUACCAACAUUAGUGUGCGAUGGAAGGACGCUUAGGGCUAAGGGGGCUAGCGGAUGGAAGUGCUAGUCUAAGGUCGUAGGAGGUUAUACAGGCAAAUCCGUAUAACAAUACUCCGAGAACUGAAAGGCUUUUUGAAGUCUUCGGAUGGAUAGAAGAACCCCUGAUGCCGUCGAGCCAAGAAAAGUUUCUAAGUUUAGCUAAUGUUGCCCGUACCGUAAACCGACACAGGUGGGUGGGAUGAGUAUUCUAAGGCGCGUGGAAGAACUCUCUUUAAGGAACUCUGCAAAAUAGCACCGUAUCUUCGGUAUAAGGUGUGGUUAGCUUUGUAUUAGGAUUUACUCCGAAAGCAAGGAAACUUACAACAAAGAGUCCCUCCCGACUGUUUACCAAAAACACAGCACUCUGCUAACUCGUAAGAGGAUGUAUAGGGUGUGACGCCUGCCCGGUGCUCGAAGGUUAAUUGAUGGGGUUAGCAUUAGCGAAGCUCUUGAUCGAAGCCCGAGUAAACGGCGGCCGUAACUAUAACGGUCCUAAGGUAGCGAAAUUCCUUGUCGGUUAAAUACCGACCUGCAUGAAUGGCGUAACGAGAUGGGAGCUGUCUCAAAGAGGGAUCCAGUGAAAUUGUAGUGGAGGUGAAAAUUCCUCCUACCCGCGGCAAGACGGAAAGACCCCGUGGACCUUUACUACAGCUUGACACUGCUACUUGGAUAAGAAUGUGCAGGAUAGGUGGGAGGCUUUGAGUAUAUGACGCCAGUUGUAUAUGAGCCAUUGUUGAGAUACCACUCUUUCUUAUUUGGGUAGCUAACCAGCUUGAGUUAUCCUCAAGUGGGACAAUGUCUGGUGGGUAGUUUGACUGGGGCGGUCGCCUCCCAAAUAAUAACGGAGGCUUACAAAGGUUGGCUCAGAACGGUUGGAAAUCGUUCGUAGAGUAUAAAGGUAUAAGCCAGCUUAACUGCAAGACAUACAAGUCAAGCAGAGACGAAAGUCGGUCUUAGUGAUCCGGUGGUUCUGUGUGGAAGGGCCAUCGCUCAAAGGAUAAAAGGUACCCCGGGGAUAACAGGCUGAUCUCCCCCAAGAGCUCACAUCGACGGGGAGGUUUGGCACCUCGAUGUCGGCUCAUCGCAUCCUGGGGCUGGAGCAGGUCCCAAGGGUAUGGCUGUUCGCCAUUUAAAGCGGUACGCGAGCUGGGUUCAGAACGUCGUGAGACAGUUCGGUCCCUAUCUGCCGUGGGCGUAAGAAGAUUGAAGAGAUUUGACCCUAGUACGAGAGGACCGGGUUGAACAAACCACUGGUGUAGCUGUUGUUCUGCCAAGAGCAUCGCAGCGUAGCUAAGUUUGGAAAGGAUAAACGCUGAAAGCAUCUAAGCGUGAAGCCAAC
rnacentral:rRNA from 1 species